AGAGUUUGAUCCUGGCUCAGGAUGAACGCCGGCGGUGUGCUAAUACAUGCAAGUCGUACGCACUGGCCCAGCUGAUUGACGGUGCUUGCACCAGAUUGACGCUGGAUACCCAGUGAGUGGCGGACGGGUGAGUAACACGUGGGUAACCUGCCCCGGAGCGGGGGAUAACAUUUGGAAACAGAUGCUAAUACCGCAUAACAACGAAAACCACAUGGUUUUCGUUUGAAAGAUGGCAUAUGCUAUCACUCUGGGAUGGACCCGCGGUGCAUUAGCUAGUUGGUAAGGUAACGGCUUUACCAAGGCGAUGAUGCAUAGCCGAGUUGAGAGACUGAUCGGCCACAAUGGAACUGAGACACGGUCCAUACUCCUACGGGAGGCAGCAGUAGGGAAUCUUCCACAAUGGGCGCAAGCCUGAUGGAGCAACACCGCGUGAGUGAAGAAGGGUUUCGGCUCGUAAAGCUCUGUUGUUGGAGAAGAACGUACCUGAGAGUAACUGUUCAGGUAGUGACGGUAUCCAACCAGAAAGUCACGGCUAACUACGUGCCAGCAGCCGCGGU
rnacentral:rRNA from 1 species